rnacentral:rRNA from 1 species
AUUGAACGCUGGCGGCAUGCCUUACACAUGCAAGUCGAACGGUAACAGGUUAAGCUGACGACUGGCGUACGGGUGAGUAAUGUAUCGGAACGUCCCCAGUCGCGGGGGUUAACUGCUCGAAUGAGCAGCUAAUACCGCAUCCGACCUGAGGGUGAAAUCGGGGCCUCGCAAGACCUCGCGCGAUUGGAGCGUCCCUUUUCCGAUUAGAUAGUUGGUCAGGUAAAGGCUUACCAAGGCAACGAUCUGUAGCCGGUCUGAGAGGUCGACCAGCCACACUGGGACUGAGACACGGCCCAGACUCCUACGGGAGGCAGCAGUGGGGAAUUUUGGACAAUGGGCGAAAGCCUGAUCGAGCAAUGCCGCGUGAGGGAAGAAGGCCUUCGGGUUGUAAAACGCUUUUAUCAGGGAAGAAAAGAUUCGGAAUAAAACCUGGAACUCAUGACGGUACCUGAAGAGUAAGCAACGGCUAACUACGUG